AGCAUGGUCUUAGCUUGCUAAGGCCGAUGGCGACCGGCGCACGGGUGAGUAACACGUAUCCAACCUGCCGUCUACUCUUGGACAGCCUUCUGAAAGGAAGAUUAAUACAAGAUGGCAUCAUGAGUCCGCAUGUUCACAUGAUUAAAGGUAUUCCGGUAGACGAUGGGGAUGCGUUCCAUUAGAUAGUAGGCGGGGUAACGGCCCACCUAGUCUUCGAUGGAUAGGGGUUCUGAGAGGAAGGUCCCCCACAUUGGAACUGAGACACGGUCCAAACUCCUACGGGAGGCAGCAGUGAGGAAUAUUGGUCAAUGGGCGAGAGCCUGAACCAGCCAAGUAGCGUGAAGGAUGACUGCCCUAUGGGUUGUAAACUUCUUUUAUAAAGGAAUAAAGUCGGGUAUGUAUACCCGUUUGCAUGUACUUUAUGAAUAAGGAUCGGCUAACUCCGUGCCAGCAGCCGCGGUAAUACGGAGGAUCCGAGCGUUAUCCGGAUUUAUUGGGUUUAAAGGGAGCGUAGAUGGAUGUUUAAGUCAGUUGUGAAAGUUUGCGGCUCAACCGUAAAAUUGCAGUUGAUACUGGAUAUCUUGAGUGCAGUUGAGGCAGGCGGAAUUCGUGGUGUAGCG
rnacentral:rRNA from 1 species